rnacentral:rRNA from 1 species
AUUGAACGCUGGCGGCAUGCCUUACACAUGCAAGUCGAACGGUAACGGGCCUUCGGUUGCCGACGAGUGGCGAACGGGUGAGUAAUACAUCGGAACGUGCCCGAUCGUGGGGGAUAACGAGGCGAAAGCUUUGCUAAUACCGCAUACGAUCUACGGAUGAAAGCAGGGGACCGCAAGGCCUUGCGCGGACGGAGCGGCCGAUGGCAGAUUAGGUAGUUGGUGGGAUAAAAGCUUACCAAGCCGACGAUCUGUAGCUGGUCUGAGAGGAUGAUCAGCCACACUGGGACUGAGACACGGCCCAGACUCCUGCGGGAGGCAGCAGUGGGGAAUUUUGGACAAUGGGCGCAAGCCUGAUCCAGCCAUGCCGCGUGCAGGAUGAAGGCCUUCGGGUUGUAAACUGCUUUUGUACGGAACGAAAAGCCUUCUUUUAAUACAGGAGGGUCAUGACGGUACCGUAAGAAUAAGCACCGGCUAACUACGUG